rnacentral:rRNA from 1 species
UACGAAGGGGGCUAGCGUUGUUCGGAAUUACUGGGCGUAAAGCGCGCGCAGGCGGUUUUCCAAGUCAGUGGUGAAAGCCCGGAGCUCAACUCCGGAAUUGCCAUUGAAACUGCAAAACUUGAGUACGAGAGAGGUGAGUGGAAUUCCCAGUGUAGAGGUGAAAUUCGUAGAUAUUGGGAGGAACACCAGAUGCGAAGGCGGGUCACUGGGCUGAUACUGACGCUGAUAUUGCGAAAGCCAGGGGAGCGAACGGG